rnacentral:rRNA from 1 species
UUGAACGCUGGCGGCAUGCCUUACACAUGCAAGUCGAACGGUAACAGGUCUUCGGAUGCUGACGAGUGGCGAACGGGUGAGUAAUACAUCGGAACGUGCCUAGUAGUGGGGGAUAACUACUCGAAAGAGUAGCUAAUACCGCAUGAGAUCUACGGAUGAAAGCAGGGGACCUUCGGGCCUUGUGCUACUAGAGCGGCCGAUGGCAGAUUAGGUAGUUGGUGGGAUAAAAGCUUACCAAGCCGACGAUCUGUAGCUGGUCUGAGAGGACGACCAGCCACACUGGGACUGAGACACGGCCCAGACUCCUACGGGAGGCAGCAGUGGGGAAUUUUGGACAAUGGGCGAAAGCCUGAUCCAGCAAUGCCGCGUGCAGGAUGAAGGCCUUCGGGUUGUAAACUGCUUUUGUACAGAACGAAAAAGCUCCUUCUAAUACAGGGGGCCCAUGACGGUACCGUAAGAAUAAGCACCGGCUAACUACGUGCCAGCAGCCGCCGUAACAC